UUACCAUGCAAGUCGCACGAACCUUUCGGGGUUAGUGGCGGACGGGUGAGUAACGCGUAGGAACCUAUCUGGAGGUGGGGGAUAACAUCGGGAAACUGGUGCUAAUACCGCAUGAUGCCUGAGGGCCAAAGGAGAGAUCCGCCAUUGGAGGGGCCUGCGUUCGAUUAGCUAGUUGGUUGGGUAAAGGCUGACCAAGGCGAUGAUCGAUAGCUGGUUUGAGAGGAUGAUCAGCCACACUGGGACUGAGACACGGCCCAGACUCCUACGGG
rnacentral:rRNA from 8 species